GAUGAACGCUGGCGGCGCGCCUAACACAUGCAAGUCGAACGGUUAAAGCACCUUUUAGGUGUGUAUAAAGUGGCGAACGGCUGAGUAACACGUGGGCAACCUGCCCUCCUCUUGGGGAUAGCCUCGGGAAACCGAGGAUAAUACCCGAUACUUCAAUGUGGCCGCAUGACGACAUUGAGAAAGCUUUUGCGGAGAAGGAUGGGCCCGCGGCCUGUUAGCUUGUUGGUGGGGUAGAGGCCUACCAAGGCAAUGAUGGGUAGCUGGGUUGGGAGACCGACCAGCCAGAUUGGGACUGAGACACGGCCCAGACUCCUACGGGAGGCAGCAGUGGGGAAUCUUGCACAAUGGGCGAAAGCCUGAUGCAGCGACGCCGCGCGCGGGACGAAGGCCUUCGGGUUGUAAACCGCUUUCAGCAGGGACGAGGCGAUAAGUGACGGUACCUGCAGAAGAAGCCCCGGCUAACUACGUG
rnacentral:rRNA from 1 species